GACGAACGCUGGCGGCGCGCCUAACACAUGCAAGUCGAACGGGAUAGAGGAGCUUGCUUUUCUAUCUAGUGGCGAACGGGUGAGUAACGCGUGAGUAACCUGCCUUAAAGUGGGGGACAACAGUUGGAAACGACUGCUAAUACCGCAUAAGCCCACGGCCCGGCAUCGGGCUGAGGGAAAAGGAUUUAUUCGCUUUAAGAUGGACUCGCGUCCGAUUAGCUAGUUGGUGAGGUAAUGGCCCACCAAGGCAACGAUCGGUAGCCGGACUGAGAGGUUGAACGGCCACAUUGGGACUGAGACACGGCCCAGACUCCUACGGGAGGCAGCAGUGGGGAAUAUUGCACAAUGGAGGAAACUCUGAUGCAGCGACGCCGCGUGGAGGAAGAAGGUUUUCGGAUCGUAAACUCCUGUUGUCGGGGACGAUAAUGACGGUACCCGACAAGAAAGUGACGGCUAACUACGUG
rnacentral:rRNA from 1 species